UUUCCGGUUGAUCCCGCCGGACCUGACUGCUAUCGGAUUGAUACUAAGCCAUGCGAGUCUUUGCAGUAAUGCAAGGCAUACGGCUCAGUAACACGUAGUCAACUUACCCUAUGGACGAGGAUAAUCUCGGGAAACUGAGCAUAAUACUCGAUAGAUCAUAAUGCCUGGAAUGGUUUAUGGUUGAAAUGAUUCGUCGCCAUAGGAUGGGACUGCGGCCUAUCAGCUUGUUGGUGAGGUAAUGGCCCACCAAGGCGAUUACAGGUACGGGCUCUGAGAGGAGAAGCCCGGAGAUGGGUACUGAGACAAGGACCCAGGCCCUAUGGGGCGCAGCAGGCGAGAAAACUUUGCAAUGUGCGAAAGCACGACAAGGUUAAUCCGAGUGGUUUCUGCUAAAGAAAUCUUUUGCAAGUCAUAAAACCACUAGUGAAUAAGGGGUGGGCAAGUUCUGGUGUCAGCCGCCGCGGUAAAACCAGCACCUCAAGUGGUCAGGAGGAUUAUUGGGCCUAAAGCAUCCGUAGCCGGCUCUGUAAGUUUUCGGUUAAAUCCAUGUGCUCAACGCAUGGGCUGCCGAAAAUACUGCAUAGCUAGGGAGUGGGAGAGGUAGACGGUACUCGGUAGGAAGGGGUAAAAUCCUUUGAUCUAUCGAUGACCACCUGUGGCGAAGGCGGUCUACCAGAACACGUUCGACGGUGAGGGAUGAAAGCUGGGGGAGCAAACCGGAUUAGAUACCCGGGUAGUCCCAGCUGUAAACGAUGCAGACUCGAUGAUGCAUUGGCAUAUAGCCAGUGCAGUGUCGCAGGGAAGCCGUUAAGUCUGCCGCCUGGGAAGUACGUACGCAAGUAUGAAACUUAAAGGAAUUGGCGGGGGAGCACCACAAGGGGUGAAGCCUGCGGUUCAAUUGGAGUCAACGCCGGA
rnacentral:rRNA from 1 species